GAUGAAGAACACAGCGAAAUGCGAUAAGUAGUGUGAAUUGCAGAAUUCAGUGAAUCAUCGAAUCUUUGAACGCACAUUGCGCCCCUUGGUAUUCCAUGGGGCAUGCCUGUUCGAGCGUCAUUUGUACCUUCAAGCUCUGCUUGGUGUUGGGUGUUUGUCUCGCCUCUGCGUGUAGACUCGCCUCAAAAUAAUUGGCAGCCGGCGUAUUGAUUUCGGAGCGCAGUACAUCUCGCGCUUUGCACUCAUAACGACGACGUCCAAAAGUACAUUUUUACACUCUUGACCUCGGAUCAGGUAGGGAUACCCGCUGAACUUAAGCAUAUCAAUAAGCGGAGGA
rnacentral:misc_RNA from 1 species